AAUCUGGGAUGGUCUGUCACUACUCCAAGAAGCUUGACAGGAUUAAAAGGGUCAUGUAUCAUCAUUCCUUGCAAGUUUACCUACAGUAAUUCCCAGCCAGGUGGCCUCCAAGUUUUAUGGUACUUGUACCAGAGUAAUGGCUAUCCAGCUGUAUUCAACCAAAAAGGAGGAAAUAUUUUGAACAGAUAUGAUGGGAAAACAAGUUUAACAGGCUCUGUGUCAGAGGGGAAUUGUAGCCUUAAAAUAGAAAGGCUGGAGAUGUAUCACAAUCAGGAACGACUUUACCCAUGGAUCGAUGAGCACCCAAUUACUUCCUACCAUUCACAGGGACACUCAUUUUUGGAUAAAAGCACUGAGAUUAUGGUUUCCGACCAUGCACAAGCUCCACAACUGAGCAUAAUUGAUCUCCCUAGGGUGGGGGAAAAAAGCAGAGUUGCCUGUAUAGUGCAGCAUACAUGUUUUGCUGCACCCCCUGCCCUGUCUCUGGAUGGGAUACCUGGAACAGACCACAUUUUCGACACCCCAGUGUCAGAAGGGAUUUGGGAAAGAAAAAUUGAAAGAACAUGGACUGUUCAGGAAGACCACAGCAGGGUGGAGUGCACUGUGA